GAGGGCGCCGCCGACUCACCGCGGAGAUGCGGACGAGACAGACGCGGAGGCGGGGAGCGGAACUUCGGCGCCGCCGACGCGCGGGUGCAGCAGGUGAAAGACAAAAGGACCUUGAAAACAUAUGGCUUGCUGCCCUUCCACAGACAGAGGCAGCUCCAGUCCUGCUGCCAGGAGGACAGAUGGAGUCUCCCUCUGUUGCCCACGCUGGAGUGCAGUGGCUUGAUUUCAGCUCACUACAACCUCCACCUCCCAGGUUCAAGUGAUUCUCCUGCCUCAGCCUCCGGAGUAGCCAGGACUACAGAUGUGCACCGCCACAUCCAGCUAAUUUUUGCAUUUUUAGUACAUACAGGGUUUCACCAUGUUGGCCAGGCUGGUCAUGAACUCCUGACCUCAAGCAGUCCACCCACCUCAGCCUCCCAAAGUGCUGGGAUUACAGGCGUGAGCCACCGUGCCCAGCCUGAUCUUUGUUAUGGUUAUAUAAGAUGUUAUCAUUGGGUGAAAUUGAGUGAAGGAUACACUGGACCUUUCUGUACUAUUUUUUUGCAAC